CCAGAACAGUGAUAAUAACAAGAUUUAUCCAAUCCAAAAUUGCAGGGUUUUAGUAACUACGCCCCAAUAAAUGUCAAUAUUAAACAA
rnacentral:ribozyme from 1 species